GAGCCUCCGCCCCCGCCCCGCGGCGCCGUCCCCGCGCGGCCACCAGAGGGCGGUGCCGCCCGGCCCAGCCGGCUGGGACGGGGUUUGGGGGAAAGCCUGGACUCGCGGUCGGAGUGGACGCGGCGACACCCGGACCCCGCAGACGUGUGGACCCCGCAAACGUGUGGACCCCGCAAACGUGUGAACUCCGCAAACGUGUGGACCGCAAACGUGUGGACCCCGCGGAGUCGGGCCCGGGUGGGGACACCUGCGCGGAGACCCUCCCACCUCGAACCUUCCAGUCCAGCCUGGGACAGUCCCCUGACCCACCACGAGGACCAAGAGCAGAGCCGAGGGCCGUGCAGGCGUCACCCGUGGAAGGCAGGUGGGCAACCAGAAGUCCGGGGAGUCAGCGGUCAGAUGUGCACACGUGUGGAUGGCGGCCACGGCGAGCAAGCUCCGGAGCACGCGUGACAAGGAUGUGGCCCGUCACGGCAGAACAAAAACCAAACAACUUUCCCAAGGACAGAAACACAGACGGGCAUGGACGAAGACCCAUCUCAGUCCUGGACGAAACGGCUGAGCUGUCAGUCACCUCCAGCGUGAGUCCGGCGCGGUAGGACCUCGGGGAAACACCUGGGGAAGGAAGAGCCCAGAGUAACAGAGAGAAUUGUAUGAAAGGAGAACGUCGGGGACACCUGCCUCCGCCCCUUUUAUUCCUCCUGGGCACCUGCAGUUCAGAUUGCGUGAAAACCCCCACCCCCUUUCGGAUCCCAGACCUCUCCUUGCGGGCGGCCUCACCCCGGCCGCCGGGUCCCCUGGUGGGGGCAGCUGUCUCCUCUCCCUGGGCCGCAACUCUCAGCACCUCGCGCCUGAAAGCACAGGUGUUCCUGCUGCAGCCGGAGCAACGGGAAGACCAGGCGGGCGGACGGACGGACGCCAGACCUCUGAGCUCGGCUCUGCAGGCUCCCGCACGUCUGAGCUGGCGGCCGGCUGGGGUGAACGCAGGUGGCUUUGGCUCCUGCCUCUGGGGCGGCCUCGGGCCCCGUGCAGGAAAGGGAGGCUGAGGUGGGCGCUGGGAAGUGUUUGCUUUGGCCUUUCUGGCCGUUCCUAUAAUAAAAACGACACUGGCUCUGA